UACGUAGGGGGCAAGCGUUGUCCGGAAUCAUUGGGCGUAAAGAGCGUGUAGGCGGCUCGAUAAGUCUGCUGUGAAAGUCCAGGGCUCAACCCUGGAAGGCCGGUGGAAACUGUCGGGCUAGAGUCCGGAAGAGGCGAGUGGAAUCCCGGUGUAGCGGUGAAAUGCGCAGAUAUCGGGAGGAACACCAAUGGCGAAGGCAGCUCGCUGGGACGGUACUGACGCUGAGACGCGAAAGCGUGGGGAGCAAACAGGAGUUAG
rnacentral:rRNA from 1 species